rnacentral:rRNA from 1 species
AGUAAUGCUUGGGAACUUGCCUUUGCGAGGGGGAUAACAGUUGGAAACGACUGCUAAUACCGCAUAAUGUCUUCGGACCAAACGGGGCUUCGGCUCCGGCGCAAAGAGAGGCCCAAGUGAGAUUAGCUAGUUGGUAAGGUAACGGCUUACCAAGGCGACGAUCUCUAGCUGUUCUGAGAGGAAGAUCAGCCACACUGGGACUGAGACACGGCCCAGACUCCUACGGGAGGCAGCAGUGGGGAAUAUUGCACAAUGGGGGAAACCCUGAUGCAGCCAUGCCGCGUGUGUGAAGAAGGCCUUCGGGUUGUAAAGCACUUUCAGUUGUGAGGAAAAGUUAGUAGUUAAUACCUGCUAGCCGUGACGUUAACAACAGAAGAAGCACCGGCUAACUCCGUGCCAGCAGCCGCGGUAAUACGGAGGGUGCGAGCGUUAAUCGGAAUUACUGGGCGUAAAGCGCACGCACGCGGUUUGUUAAGCUAGAUGUGAAAGCCCCGGGCUCAACCUGGGAUGGUCAUUUAGAACUGGCAGACUAGAGUCUUGGAGAGGGGAGUGGAAUUCCAGGUGUAGCGGGUGAAAUGCGUAGAUAUCUGGGA